AAUGAACUGAGCUCUGUAAUGGGAUGGGAUCCGAAGCCCUCCGAGGGAUAAUAUAGGCUCUCCCAUCCAACUCCUAUUCCGACACGUCCUCGUCGUGCAGAGUGGUAACAUGUGCCUCCAUAUAUCCUAGCUUGGGUACACGGG
rnacentral:ribozyme from 1 species